GUGAGGAAUUUUCCGCAAUGGGCGAAAGCCUGAUCCAGCAAUGCCGCGUGGAUGAAGAAGGUCUUCGGAUUGUAAAGUCCUUUCGACGGGGACGAUGAUGACGGUACCCGUAGAAGAAGCCCCGGCUAACUUCGUGCCAGCAGCCGCGGUAAUACGAAGGGGGCUAGCGUUACUCGGAAUUACUGGGCGUAAAGGGCGCGUAGGCGGCUUGGCAAGUCAGGCGUGAAAUUCCCGGGCUCAACCUGGGGACUGCGCUUGAGACUGUUGGGCUAGAGGAUGGAAGAGGGUCGUGGAAUUCCCAGUGUAGAGGUGAAAUUCGUAGAUAUUGGGAAGAACACCGGUGGCGAAGGCGGCGACCUGGUCCAUUACUGACGCUGAGGCGCGACAGCGUGGGGAGCAAACAGGAUUAGAAACCCCAGUAGUCC
rnacentral:rRNA from 1 species